rnacentral:rRNA from 1 species
UACGGAGGGGGCGAGCGUUAUUCGGAAUUAUUGGGCGUAAAGGGCGCGUAGGCGGCUGUACAAGUCAAAGGUGAAAUCCCUCGGCUCAACUGAGGAACUGCCUUUGAAACUGUACGGCUUGAGGCCGGGAGGGGGUAGCGGAAUUCCCAAUGUAGCGGUGAAAUGCGUAGAUAUUGGGAGGAACACCAGUGGCGAAGGCGGCUACCUGGACCGGUUCUGACGCUGAUGCGCGAAAGCGUGGGUAGCAAACAGG